ACCACGUAGGGCCAGUACGUAGUGUAAGGUGGCAGCCAAACCCUGCCUGUUCAUUCCCUGAUAGCAACAGUCUGUGCCUGCCCUGCUGUAGGGCAAGGGGCCAGCGACCCCUGCCCACACAAUCUUCCUCUCACCAUCAUCUUCCUCACCCCUGUGUACGACCUCUACCGCUCUGUUUCAAGGGUGUUUGUGUCCAUCUUGCAGUAGGGAGCCAAGCCAAGGAGGAACUCGGCUCUGAUAAUGAGGGACAUCCAGUUAACUGGCUAAAGACAAAAUGGGCCUCACAGCUAACUCGUGCGAUAAAGUAACAUUGUACAAUACUCUGGCUGGUUUCACAUCCUAAUAGAAUUACUUUCUCCCCCUCUAUGCUCCACCGAUCAUCGAAAUCGAAAGUCCUCCCCUUACAGGGUGGCACCUGGGUGGCAGUGUUCCCGAGCCGGCAGUGACGUCCUGUGGGACGUGCUCACCCUGUGCUCACCCUCACCUCUCCCUUCCAGCAGAUCCCACGCCCCCGAGGGCUUCUCUCCACCCCUCUCCCUCUCCUGGGACAGGGGCCAGGACGUGGGCUCCUUCCCACCCCUCUCCCUCUCCUGGGACAGGGGCCAGGACGUUCUUCGGGCAGGAUGUUCCCCCCGCCGGGCUGCAGGAGGGGCUUCCCCAGGGAGCCCUGCCCGUGGGGGGAUGGAGCAGGAGCAGGGCCGUGCCCCCCUCACGGCCCCGAGGACGCCUGGGAUGAGCCGCCCUGGAAGCACCGGCGCAGGAGGGGCCGGGGCGGAUGGUUCCGGCCCAGCCCCAGGGACCCCAGACCCUUCCCUGGCCCUGAUGGCAUCCCUUGGAACGCGGAGGAGGAGGAGGACAGGAUAUGGGCACCCCAUGACUAUCCCCCAGCACCCCCCUGGGAUGACAGAGAAGAAAUCCGAGGGCCUGUGGAUGACUUUGGAGAGGGCUGGAACCCGCAUCAUCCCAGGGGUCCCAGACCCUUCCCUGGCCCUGAUGGCAUCCCUUGGAACGGGGAGGAGGAGGACAGGAUAUGGGCACCCCACGACUACCCCCCGCCCCCCUGGGAUGGCAGAGGACCUCAGGAGGACUUCACACAGGACUGGUUCCUGGUGAGCUUGUGGGUUGGGGGGUGGUAGCAGCUGCAGGACUGAGGCUGGGGAGUGGGUAAAAUGGGGCAGGGGCCACUCACUGCCCUGGUGACAAGGACAGGGUGUGGGGACGGGUUUCCCAGCUCAGCCUCCGCUCUGCUGUCGCAGGAUUCCCUGUCCCAUUCCCUGUCUAAACCCACCCCCUUUCCUACAGGAGUGGCAGCCUGGCCCCUGUCCUGAACCCCCCCUGGAGGAGGAGCAGCCCCCACCCUGGCAUCCUGCUGGCCCACCAGGGUGAGUGCCGUGCCCGGGGGGGGCUCAGGGGGUCUGUGUGGCUGUGGGGUGGCACGAA
rnacentral:lncRNA from 1 species